AGAGAGGAGCCCCAAGGCAGGAAGGGAGGAGGUGGCAAGCUCCUAGGAGGGCGGGGGGGAAGGGAGGCAGCUGUUGGCACAAGAAUGACCAUCAGAGAAACAUCCUUGAGGCAACAUACCCACUGCCUCAAACUAUCCCUAGAAAUUCCAAACAGGUCUUUGAAAGGAGCAAGCUCGGGACCUGAAAAAGGAGCAGAAACAGUUAGAUUAGAGGACAGCCUGCCAACGGGGAAAUUCUUCGAGGCUGUGACAUCACAGGCCAAGCACCUGUCAGGGCCCUGGAGCACUGCAGCCUGAUUUUCUUACCACAGAGACCAGACUCUGGGGCUAGGGCUUGGCCUGGUCAGCGCUGACUCCACAUGGGCUCCAGGCUCCUCUGCUGUGUGGCCCUCUGCCUCCUGGGAGCAGGCCCCUUGGACACAGCAGUUUCCCAGACUCCAAAGUACCUCAUCUCACGGGUGGGAAAUGAGAAGACCCUAAAAUGUGAGCAAAAUCUGAGCCAUAAUGCCAUGUACUGGUAUGUCCAGGACUCCAAGAAAUUGCUGAAGAUCAUGUUUUCCUACAAUAAUAAGCAACCCAUUGUCAAUGAAACAGCUUCAAAUCGUUUCUCACCUCACGCUCCUGACAACGCUCAUUUAAACCUUCACAUCAACUCCCUGGAGCCAAGCGACUCUGCUGUGUAUUUCUGUGCCAGCAGCCAAGACACAGCCCUGCAAAGUCACUGCCUCCCUGUGCAAAAACCUCUUUGCCAGACAGGAAGCUGUGGGGGCACCAUGUUCCCCUGCCCCUGCAGAUCUGUUCACCCUCUGUGA